GGGACGGGCCGGAUCCCCUGCCCCGCGGCGGUGGCCGCGGUGGCGCGCCAGGGCGCGUCGUCGCCCGCGAGGAGCGGCCGCUUCGAGCCGGCGUGGGGGGAUAUGGACGAGGCCGCGGCGGCGGUGGUGGCCGCCGGGAGGGCGGCCGGUGAGGAGGUGGUGGUGGUGAGGGACGCCAUCGGAUAAGGCGGAGAGGCGGAGGAGGAGGAAGCGUUCCGUUUGCGUGUUGGGCUCGCUCGCGUUGGGG
rnacentral:lncRNA from 1 species